UUGGUAUACUCGGGAACUUUCCAAGAAUCCAGCUUCACUGAGGCGAGCAGCAGUUGCUCGGCAACAUGGGAGGUGAUUGUCGUCACGGUGCCUGGUGGGUGACCUGGGCAAGCGGAGCCUCCUGCACUGUGGGCAGGAAGACCAAGAAGGAGAGCACGGGGGCACCAGGAAGGCCAGCCAUGAUGUUGAUGAAACUGAGAAACAGCAGGUCACUCCGAUGCCAGGGCUUCCUUGUGUUCCUUCUGUCAGCUCUGAGGCACAGUGCCAAUAAGAAAGGCCAGAAGACCAGCAAAGAGAGAAAACACCCAUGGGCCAGAGGAAUUCAGGAACAAUUUUCAAGGCAGAGCUGGAACAACCAGACUUGGCGAUGCAAAUUCCCGACACUGGAUGAGUCAGGGCAAGGGGCAGGACUUGCUCACAGGCCCUGGACAGUUGAUCCCUGACUUUACAAAAAAGAAAAACGGAAGACAACCCCUUGCUGAAGCUGGACAAGAGCAAUUGGAGAGCGAGCAGAAUGGAUUCCCCUGUUGCACAAGAGAACAUCAAUGACACUUCUUCUAGAAGCACAUCUUCAUCCAUAAUUCCUAUGUUGAAAGAAUGAACUACUGAAGGUUGUCAGGAUGCUUUAACUAAUAAGCUUUCAUCCAUAAGACCAUGUUGACCUAAUUGACUUCCUGUUUUUACAUCACAUGGACCAUCUAUUAAUUGCCAUAAAGAAUGCACAUGUAGGUAAUUCUAAACUACACAUUGGCCCACGUCAUGCCUGGGCCUCAACUUUUAUAGUCACCGGGUAGUGCCUACAGAAGAGAACAUUAAACAUCCUUAGGCUAGCUCUUCGUGUGGCAGCCUCCCUAACUUCAACCUCCUCCAUCUCCAAACCACUGCUCCUCUCUCACACAACCAAGUUUUCCGUACUCUCGUUUUCUCUAAAUGCCCAUCAGGCUAACUCCUCCUUCAAGAUUCAGGCCGUGCCUUAUUUCAUCUUAAAAACAGCUUCCAACACCUCUUGCCCAUCUCCAACCCUUCUCCAGCCCCUCUCUGUUCCCCCACUGGCUUGUCCUACAUCUGUUCACAGACCUCAGCACACAGGCUGUCAUGCCUGUCACCCAUGACCAGGACCUUCUCAAGGACUGGCUCCCAGGACUGUAUCCUCAGAAUCAAACAUAUAGUCUAGCCCAAGGUGGAGACAUUCAGGAAGGGUCUGAUGGAUGAAAGAGUCUUAAUCAUGCUGUUAGCUGACUUUGGGUAGAUUAAAGCUCCAAACAAAGGAAUUUUUUCAUUAUAAGAAAUCACCUCUCAUGUAACUUCAGGUUCAAUUUCAUUCAAUGCCUGAAGCUGUGUCUGCUAACAUCGUUCUUAGUUUAAACUAUGGUUUCAUAAAUAGUCUGCAGGUCUCUAAUCCAUCAAUUCGUAUUGUCCAGUAAGGCGGGGAUCACCACACCCCAAAGCCACGGAAUCUCAUGCCUUCCACUGGGUCUGGAACACAGCAACUUGGAAAGCAGAGGGGAGAAACGGUUUCUUCCCUUUCCAGCAGACCUUUCUGAGCUUCUGUGUGUUGUUGAAAUGAGAGACACUGAGAGAUGAGACCACAAACCAAAAGUUACACCCUUGGGUCUGAAAGGUUUGGACAGACGCUAGUGUUUCUGGAAGACAAAGAGAAUCCACAAACAUGAGAAUGUAGGGAUGGAUGUUUGCACACAACGGAAGGCACGUUCUAAAGCACGUUUGCCAACUGCUUAAUUAAAUGUUUCUCAAUAUUUGAUGAGAAUUCAUAUCAGACACAGGGCUUUGACUGGAGGGAAGGGGCUCAUGCGCACUCAGAAGAAGCCUAGCAGAUCCACACUUCCACAGAUGAGCCAAACAAAGCAUAAAAACAAAACUCCAAUGGUCAUUUUCCCUAUACAUCACAUCCUGGUAGAAUUCCCACCUCUUAAGAGGAAACCUCCGUGACCACAUAAGAAAAAAAACGUUUUUAAUUUCUUUCCAGUUUUUAAACGAGUCCAAACUAAAACAAAGAUUUUAUGACUCUCUCAGUCUGCCAUGCGGAUUUCCGCCUCUGACAAAUGCCAGGAAUCCUUGUGGCUACUUUAGAUGUUCAAACCAUUUAUUAAGAGUGAGAGAGUGCCAUGUCGGAAACCGGGCUCCAGAAAGGUAGCUGAGGCCACCACUUUGGACUCCAGCCAGAAGAAGACUUCUUGGCAACAAAGUGGGCAGUUUUAGGAACUGCACAAUUGUUUAAACUCUCCUGUGCAGUUUAAGAAAAGUAUUUUCAGUGGCAAGGAGGUGCCAUAGAGCUGCAAAUACAGAUGGAAGUAUUUUCUCCAGAUCAUUGUAUUACACUGAAAAUGAAAACUAAAACCCAAUAAAAUGCUGCCAUUAUCCACCAGAGGCUUCAAAAGGAACCAAUUCUGUUUUCGGGGUUAUUGGGCCAUUGGAUAAGAGGAAGAAGGAAAAAAUUGAACAUAAAUUUUGAAAAAUGCAAACAUUAACUUCCAAUUCAAUUGGCAUCAGACUUUUGGUGGGAGGAAACAGUGUCUAUUGUACAUCAGACACAAUCGUCUUUAAACAAAUUGGUGACUGGAUGUUGAGAAAAUUAUCUCCUCUGAUCUAUGUGAGUCAAGGGUGAAUACUGCUAGAAUGGAUUUGGAUGAAGAUAUAAGGAGGCAGGAAUAGAAGUGAGAUCAUAUGGCUAGCUGCUGGCUAGAUGGAAGAAGUACUUGGGAGUGAUAGAGGCCAUUCAGCUAUCCAGACAGCCCCUGGGAGCCCACUACAGUGGGCUGAAACACACACACACUAUCAGGCACCUACAUACAACAUUGGAUUAAAGUAAGACAGAUUUUUUAAAAUGUAUGUACAAUCUGGUGAAAGCCAAAUAAGGUCUAUACCUGAGUUAAUUUUAUUGUAUCACUGUCAGUUUCCUGGUUCUGAUAAUGUACUAUGCUUAAGUAAGAUAUAAUCACUAAGGGUCACUAAGGGAAGUAUAGGAACUCACUAUGCUAUUUUUUGUAACUUCCUGUGAGUUUGAAAUUAUUUCAAAAUAAGUAGUUAUAUAUAUACACACAUAUAAAAAGUAAGGUAUAAGAUACAUUCUUGACAUGCCACACAUUGUAGAUGAGAGUCCUCAUAAGCCUGGUUCCUGGGUGGCCAAGGGGAGGAGGACUGCCCCAAUGACUUAUUGACCAG
ensembl:lincRNA